rnacentral:rRNA from 1 species
GAUGAACGCUGGCGGCGUGCCUAAUACAUGCCAGUCGAGCGAACAGACGCGGAGCUUGCUCCUCUGACGUUAGCGGCGGACGGGUGAGUAACACGUGGAUAACCUCCCUAUCAGACUGGGAUCACUUCGGGACACCGGAGCUAAUCCCGGAUAAUAUAUUGCACCGCAUGGUUCAAUAGUGAAAGACGGUUUUGCUGUCACUUCUAGAUGGAUCCGCGCCGCAUUAGCUAGUUGGUAAGGUAACGGGUUACCAAGGCAACGAUGCGUAGCCGACCUGUGAGGGUGAUCGGCCACACUGGAGCUGAGACACGGUCCAGGCGCCUACGGGAGGCAGCAGUAGGGAAUCGGCCGCAAUGGGCGAAAGCCUGACGGAGCAACGCCGCGUGUGUGAUGAAGGUCUUCGGUUCGUAAAACUCUGUUAUUAGUGAAGAACAAAUGUGUAAUGAACUAUGCACGGCGUGACGGUACCUAGUCAGAAAGCCACGGCUAACUACGUG